rnacentral:rRNA from 1 species
CCUACGGGAGGCAGCAGUAGGGAAUAUUGCUCAAUGGGGGAAACCCUGAAGCAGCAACGCCGCGUGAAGGAUGAAGGUUUUCGGAUUGUAAACUCCUUUUGUUAGGGAAGAUAAUGACGGUAUCUAACGAAUAAGCACCGGCUAACUCCGUGCCAGCAGCCGCGGUAAUACGGAGGGUGCAAGCGUUACCCGGAUUCACUGGGCGUAAAGAGCGCGUAGGCGGGAGAGCAAGUCAGAUGUGAAAGCCUAGGGCUUAACCAUAGGACUGCAUUUGAAACUGUUAUGCUGGAGUAUGGGAGAGGUAGGUGGAAUUCUUGGUGUAGCGGUGAAAUGCGUAGAGAUCAAGAGGAACACUCAUGGCGAAGGCGACCUGCUAGAACAUAACUGACGCUGAGGCGCGAAAGCGUGGGGAGCAAACAGGAUUAGAUACCCGAGUAGUC